rnacentral:rRNA from 1 species
GAUGAACGCUGGCGGCGUGCCUAAUACAUGCAAGUCGAGCGAACAGACGAGGAUCUUGCUCCUCAGACGUUAGCGGCGGACGGGUGAGUAACCUGUGGAUAACCAACCUAUCAGACUGGGACAACUUCGGGAAACCGGAGUUAAUACCGGAUAAUAUAAUGAACCGCAUGGGUCAAUAGCGACAGACUGUUUUGCUGUUACGUCUAGAUCGUACCGCGCCGCAUUAGCUAGUUGGUAAGGUAACGGCUUACCACGGCGACGAUGCGUAGCCGACCUGAGAGAGUGAUCGGCCACACUGGAAGUGAGACACGGUCCAGACUGCUACGGGAGGCAGCAGUAGGGAAUCUUCCGCAAUGGGCGAAAGCCUGACGGAGCAACGCCGCGUGAGUGAUGAAGGUCUUCGGAUCGUAAAGCUCUGUUAUUAGGGAAGAACAAAUGUGUAAGUAACUAUGCACGUCUUGACGGUACCUAAUCAGAAAGCCACGGCUAACUACGUG